AUGCUUUUCCUAAAGAUUAAGCCAUGCAUGCUAAGACUAUGAGGAAGCAAUUCUCUCUGAAUCUGCGAACGGCUCCGCAAACCUAGUUGUAAACCAUAGCAGUGUUCCGCCCGGCUUCAGCAAUGGGGUCGGGCAUUAUAUGGUAUAACCGUGGUAAUUCUGAGGCUAAUACAUGACACUACUAACCUGGCGGGCUGGGGCAACCCGGCUUGCUGGGGACGUGCGAAUCAGCAAUGCUAUAACGACAUCGGGAAUGAGCG
rnacentral:rRNA from 1 species